GCUGACGAGCGGCGGACGGGUGAGUAAUGCGUAGGAAUCUGUCUUUGAGUGGGGGACAACCCAGGGAAACUUGGGCUAAUACCGCAUAAGCCCUGAGGGGGAAAGCGGGGGAUCUUCGGACCUCGCGCUGGAAGAGGGGCCUACGUCUGAUUAGCUAGUUGGUAGGGUAAGGGCCUACCAAGGCGACGAUCGGUAGCUGGUCUGAGAGGACGACCAGCCACACUGGGACUGAGACACGGCCCAGACUCCUACGGGAGGCAGCAGUGGGGAAUUUUUCGCAAUGGGGGCAACCCUGACGAAGCAAUGCCGCGUGAAUGAAGAAGGCCUUCGGGUUGUAAAGUUCUUUCGUGGAGGACGAAAAGGUGGGUGCUAAUAUCGCCUGCUGUUGACGUGAAUCCAAGAAGAAGCACCGGCUAACUCCGUGCCAGCAGCCGCGGUAAUUCAAGGGC
rnacentral:rRNA from 1 species